AGCAACCCAAUCAAAUUGCGAAAAAUAUAACAUUAGUUUUUCGUACUACAGCGGUUGCAAUAUUAAAACAAGUUGAGUUUUUCGCUAACAACGUUUCGUAAAAUGAAAAUUUUGAACGUAGUUUGAUAGUAGAUCU
ensembl:snoRNA snoRNA:lola-d